UACGUAGGGCGCAAGCGUUAUCCGGAAUUAUUGGGCGUAAAGAGCUCGUAGGCGGUUUGUCGCGUCUGCCGUGAAAGUCCGGGGCUCAACUCCGGACCUGCGGUGGGUACGGGCAGACUAGAGUGAUGUAGGGGAGACUGGAAUUCCUGGUGUAGCGGUGAAAUGCGCAGAUAUCAGGAGGAACACCGGUGGCGAAGGCGGGUCUCUGGGCCGAUACUGGCGCUGAGGAGCGAAAGCGUGGGGAGCGAACAGG
rnacentral:rRNA from 1 species